AAUCAUCCACCUUGACUUUUGGUUAAUUCCUCAGGUCUUGGCUGGGACGUGGGUGCUUGCCUCUGACAAGGAGGCUCGCCUUAAAAUGAUUGUCUGACUAUUGUCUGUGGUCGGUUUGACUUGGUGUUAUAAGUUAUUUCACUGAGGACAUCGCAAGAUGGCCGAUCUCUAUGUCUCUGGUCUAGCCAAUGAACUUGGCAAACCAUCUUUUUGAC
rnacentral:misc_RNA from 1 species